rnacentral:tRNA from 6 species
GGUCGCGUAGUGUAGCUGGCUUAACACGUCACCCUGUCACGGUGAAGAUCGCCGGUUCGAAUCCGGUCGCGACCGCCA